UGGUUUUCAGAUCGCACCACCUAAACUUACCAGAAAAUUUCAACCAUACACAACAGGAAGUUCAUAUCAAAAGUACAUUGUCGAAUGUUCAUCGUCUCAUGUGGCAGAUGCUCAGCUUUCGUGGUAUAACGGAAGCGUUUCUCUCUACAACCUCACCAUUUCUCCUCAUAACACCAGAUUAUAUCUCGAGGUGGAUUUUCAGGAUCAAAACAGCUACAGUUGUAUGGUGUCCAUUUCGGGCGUCAAUCAGAACAAAUCACAUCUAGACCUAAAACGGACCUGUCAACCAUGUCCAGAACUAACAAUGAUGCCAGUAAGUGAGGGGGGGGGGGAUAUCACUUUAUCCACCCACCUUAAGGAACGACAUAAUGAAGACAUAGAGUGGGUGUACGAUGAUAAAGCUCUUAUUGCUAAACUCCAUGGACAAAACAAUGACUAUUAUGACUAUGACAAUAGGGGAUUAAGAGACAGACUGCAUCUGGACUUUAAGACUGGAUCUCUCACCAUCAAAAACAUCAGUAAAAUCCACUCCGGAACAUAUGAACCAAAAAUCACUGACGACUCUCUGAUGACCCGGCAAUGCCUGAGUUAUAAUGUUACUGUAUACGAUUCUCUGCCCGUGCCUGUCAUCACCAAGAACUCCACAAAAUGUUCAUCAUUAACAAAGAAAUCAAAAUGUGUUGUGAUGUGUUCAGUGAAUGUGACGGGUGGGACUCUCUCCUGGUAUAAGGGAAGCAGAUUAAAAUCGGACGCACCAGUGUGUCCGAUCUCAAAACAAGCAACUUUCUAUGUCUGGAUGUGGAAUUACAGGAUCCAAACAACUACAGCUGUGUGGUGAACAACUCGUUCACCAACAGAACUACACGACUCCACAUCAAUGAAUUAUGUAAAGAUCAACAGAAUAAUCUGCCUUAUCUUGGAUUUCUUCUUGUUCCUGUUGUUAUUCUUUGCCUGAUCUAUUGCCUGAGAAAGAAGUGUCAAAGAGACUAGUAUCACCUACAGCAUAAAUAUACAUAUUUAGGGAAGUGGCAUCAGUUAACAUCCUUUGACCCCAGGCAGCAUAAAUUAUGUGAUGCGUACUUAUUGUACUGUAUAUAUAUUUAUACAUUAUGUGAUAUAGAUGAUGUUUUAUUUGUUCACGUUUUUUGAUACAUUUUAUGUAUAUAUUUACAGAAGUGUUCAAUAUAUAAAAACGUUGUUUUGAAAGGAUGUGGUUUGAUAUAGCACAGGAUGACAAUCUCACAGUCAUUAUAAUGAGACUCUGAAUGUGUUUGUGUUCAGCAGAUGCCAGCAGAGGUCAAUAUGCGGUCUCUUUUACUGCUGCUCAAGGAAAUGGUAGUUGAUGCUUUACAUUUUAACAGUACAUGGUAAACCACUUAAUAUGUAAAAUACAAUUUUAAAAAUCAAUUUGGUAAGACACAACUUUGAUGGCUUCAACCUUUUGUUUUGAUGUUCACACAUGUAAAAUUGCAAAUUAGGAGGCCUAAGUGAUGCAAAAGAACAUUAAUGAAGUUAAAAGGGAAAAUUCAGACAUACAAAUGGUCAGAAACUGUUACAUCUCACAACUGUGAUGAGACUGAAUUUGUAUAUUCAGCAGUUACAGCUGAAGAUCCAGAGGAGACCAGUGGCGCUGCUGCACAAGACAAUGGUGAAUCUGGUCAGGGCACAUCAGGCAACAUUGCUACUGAAGAGACAAGACUGAUAGUUCAUCCAUCAUCUUCACAGGAGUCCUUGCCCUCAAAUACACUUUGCUGUUCAAAGUAACAGUGACCUUCUGUUACACUAAACAUUAUAAUCCAUUAGAAGAUUUGGACCACUGCAGAAUCUCCAAGUUUCUGAUAAGGGGUCAAAUCUCAUCACAAGUCGUCACUAGUCGCCAUCUCUGUCGUGACACAACACAGAUGACUACAUGUGAGAACCAACAAGAUUCAGUGUGCCGCUAUGUUUGACCGGACCUUGAUGAUCAUUACUGGAUUUAAUGAUGAAUCGAUGCACUUUAAAACCAUUCACUGGCAUUACAAUGCUGGGAAGAACCAUAUUAUUUAUCAUAUUGUUUAACUAGAAUUCAAAUUUUUCUGUGAAUGAUUUCUCUAAUCCUACCAAUGGUGCAAUUGAUUUGAAGAUAAGUUCAAUUUAUGUUUAUCUCGUACAUAUAGGGGCACAAUGUGAAACUGACUUGAAUUGACAUGAUUAAGGUUUGGCUAAAACAACCACGAAUGCUGACCUCGAGGAUCUUCGCUCAAACAGUUUUGUUGGAAACUGGAUUGUCACUUUUCUCCAUCCAUGAAUUUGUUUAUUGUGCUUAUUUAUAUAUAGCAAUACAUUUAUUGACUUUAUUGUGCCGAAUGUUUAUAUCGAACAGCUAUGUAAUCCUUGUCACGCUCUUGAACC